rnacentral:rRNA from 1 species
UACAGAGGCCCCAAGCAUUAUCCGGAAUCACUGGGCGUAAAGGGUGUGCAGGCGGUUGUAUUAGUCCUUCGUGAAAGCUUUCGGGCUCAACCCGGAAAACGCGGUGGAAACGGUACAACUUAGAGGACGCGAGAGGUAGAGGGAACUCAUGGUGUAGGGGUGAAAUCCGUUGAUAUCAUGGGGAACACCAAAUGCGAAGGCACUCUACUGGCGCGCUCCUGACGCUCAUACACGAAAGCGUGGGAAUCGAAUGGG